CGGAUAAUUCUUCGGAGGUUGAAUCUCAAAUUCCUGCUCAUCAUCAUCUUCAUCUAAAUCUAUCAUAUCUCCAAGAUAAAAUUUCAUCCUUGCAGGAAUCUGUUUAAUAAUUGAAGGCACUAUAGUCAUUUGAUUAUAAAUUUCUCUUUUUUGCUCAUUAUGACUAACUCUUGCUUCCUCUUCUUCCUCCCCUUCACUACUGUUGCUUAUCUCAAUGACCUCUCUUUCCUCCUUUUCGUCACUGCUUCCAAUCUCUACAACUUCCCUUUCAGCCCUUCUUUUAUUCCUUGUCACCAUAGCUUUGCAUUCUUCUUUUU
rnacentral:lncRNA from 1 species